rnacentral:tRNA from 1 species
GGUAAGAUGGCUGAAUAAUAGGUGGUAGACUGUAAAUCUAUUUAUGGGAAUUUCCCUCUUAUCA